rnacentral:snRNA from 1 species
ACGUUUACUCGGUAGGAGAGAUGCCAGGACCAAGACAUUAGCUUUCCCAGGGUUAGGUCCAUGCUGCUGCACUUUUGCUGAUCCCCAAUGUGACUUCUCCAAAUGUGGGGGAUUCAACUGCAUAAUUUAUAGUAAUGGAGGACAUUGUCUGUA